rnacentral:rRNA from 1 species
CCUAGGGGGGCUGCAGUGGGGAAUAUUGGACAAUGGGCGAAAGCCUGAUCCAGCCAUGCCGCGUGUGUGAAGAAGGCCUUCGGGUUGUAAAGCACUUUCAGUGGGGAAGAAAGCCUUGGGGCUAAUACCCUCGAGGAAGGACAUCACCCACAGAAGAAGCACCGGCUAACUCCGUGCCAGCAGCCGCGGUAAUACGGAGGGUGCGAGCGUUAAUCGGAAUUACUGGGCGUAAAGCGCGCGUAGGCGGUCUGAUAAGCCGGUUGUGAAAGCCCCGGGCUCAACCUGGGAACGGCAUCCGGAACUGUCAGGCUAGAGUGCAGGAGAGGAAGGUAGAAUUCCCGGUGUAGCGGUGAAAUGCGUAGAGAUCGGGAGGAAUACCAGUGGCGAAGGCGGCCUUCUGGACUGACACUGACGCUGAGGUGCGAAAGCGUGGGUAGCAAACAGGAUUAGAUACCCGUGUAGU